CAUGACCCACGAACGAUGAAAAAUGGCCUAGCCUGGGAUAUUGAUAAUUUCUGUAUAUAAUAAUCUUUGGGAUAUAGGCUUUCUAGAAAUGUUUUUCUUUUUUUCAUAUAUUCUAUACUUUUUUGUUAAUAUGACGUUGAAUAUUGUGGUGUUUAAUGUUAAAAAAUUUACAUUUCGGGAUACACGUCACAACAAUAAACCUCCAAUGACCAUGUACAAUGUACAUGACCCUAUAAAUUUCUGAAUAUAUCAAGUUAUAUGCACUCAAAUAGCUAGAAUGGCUUAUUCAAUGAUCAUAAUAAGCAUUUUUGACCAAAUUUGGGAAAUAGAAAUAAGAAAUAUUUUGGAAAUGAUGUUCAAAGCCGUGAUUGUUCAACUUUACUUUUAAAUUAUUUUUACUUGAAUUUUAAAAUACUGAAAUAAGAAGAAUAAAUAUAGUAUGUAGUCUAUUUACAUGGUGAAAGAAGUGAAUCAUUGGAACAAUUCUGUUUCAUAUCAUAUUCCAUAGUUUUUUAAUUUUUUUUUUUUUUUUGGUAUUAAAACGACCGAGUAUCGAUAUUAAUGGUAACGAAAUAAGUUGACACCGCGUCUUGUCAAAACAUGUUCAAUUCGAAUUUACUCGGAAUUACACGUUCAACGAGCAUUUCCUGUGAAACCUGAUUAAAGGAAAAUUACUGUAGACACCUAAUAGUGAUUUGUACAGAAGCGAGCCCCGGCAGGAAUGAUGGCCUCUUUUGAAAUGAUGAUUUCAUGCCUUACUCCUACUGGGACUACAACUAACUUUGGACCUGGUCACUCGCAGAUACAGCAUGAAGUGUGCCCUCUUGAUGUACAUGGGAAUGGGAGUGAUACAGAAGGGGGACUAAUUGGAAGAAUUGCUGCUGCUGGUGGUGGUGCUGGACUGUCUUGAAUCUGUGGCCUAACCGAGUUGAUAUUCUUCUGUUUAAUAUGGGAGCAACACACACACACUCUGGCAUCUAUUGCACAGAAAAUCAUGAUCAGAUGGUGCCCUCCCUAUCAGAGUGGUGAUCACUGUCCUAUAGUUCUUUGAAAUCCUGGAUCUGUGUUUUGGUUUUACUCUCCAUGGACAAUUGAAACAGAGAAAGAAUUUGGGACUUCACUCCUUGGCAUAUCUGAAAUAUUUAUGUCAUAUACAUGUAAUUUUAAUUAUACAAUUUGGGUUGGAUGAAAAUCUUAUCUUCAUGUUAAAACCCAUUAGCCUAGGUUAUUUUUCCUAAAAUCUAAUUAUAAAUCAAUUAAAUUGUUAAUUAAUGCUUGGUGAAUCAAUUAAUAAAUUGUAUUCAAAAACUUGGAAUUAUUUUUUUCCACAAAUAAACUGAAAAUGUGUAUCUUCAAA